UUCUUUACUAUUCAUUUUGGGAAACUUUUAAACUUUUGAUUUUGUGAAAUUGAGCUCAUUUGAUCAAAUCUGAGGAUCCAAUUGAGCAAUCAGAGAUAUAUGAAAGACUCCAGUUCUAGGUGAUAGCUGAGAGAGUGAUUUAGAAUAGAAAAGAGAGCAGCAGGCGAAGGAACAGUGAUUGUGGGUGAUGUCACAUCGAUCUCCCAGUUUUGGUAGUUGAUCGAUAGACAGAGAGAGAGGGUUCGAUCGAUAGACUAAAGGAGAGAGGGGUAGAGUACCAGUUUGAUCAUAGAGAUGGAAAAAGGCUUUAUCACCUGCUCGGGACAUCAACUUGAAGCUUG
rnacentral:lncRNA from 1 species